UAGAAAAUAGUAAAAAUUAAGAAAAACCCUUGAAUGAGUAGGAGAAAGACCAGACUCAGAGGAACCAGAGCCAGGGACAUCCAAACCAGCAAGAAGACACCAGUGUUCCCACUGUGGAAAGGGUUGUAACCGGUUAUGGGACCUUAAACAACAUGAGAAAAUACACACAGGGGAGAAGCCGUUCCUUUGCUUCCAGUGUGGAAAGAGUUUUAAGCUUAUAGCAUACCUGAAAGAUCACAAGAGAAUACACACAGGAGAGAAGCCUUACCACUGCUCCCAGCGUGGAAAGUGUUUUAGCCAGUUAUGGGAGCUGAAACAACACGGGAGAAUACACACAGGAGAAUACACACAGGGGAGAAGCCUUACCACUGCUCCCAGUGUGGAAAGAGUUUUAACCAGAACAGCAACCUGAACCAACACAAGAAAAUACACAGAGGGGAGAAGCCGUACCACUCCUCCCAGGGUGCAAAGCUUUUGCCCAUUUUAGAAAGUCUGAAAGAACACAUGAGACUGCACACAGAGGAGAAGGCUUACAAAAGCCCCGACUGUGGGAAAACAUAUUACUCAUAACAGUCACUUAAACGUCAUUAGAGAAUCCACACAGGGGAGAGAAAUUACUUCUCUUAGCGUGUAUAUUGAUAUUUCACAACUGACUGAUAGUGUUUAAGCUGUUUUUACCAUAUGGAAUUGCUUCUUCCAAUUAUUGAUAAACCUGUACCUGUUAAGAAACUGACUGUUAGAACUGUUAAGGCUCCAUGGAUUGAUGAUGAAUUGAACGUCUGUAUGGUUGAAGGAGAUGGGGCAAAAGGAGUGACUAAUAAGUCUGGCUGGCUUACGUACUGCAAAUUGAGAAAUGAUGUGACCAAACUCAACAAAUAGAAUAAACUUUAUUAUGAAUCCAAGA